UUGAAAGGGAAACGAUUGAAGUCAGUCGUACCAGCGGGAAUCAACCUUUCGAGUGGGGGUUUUGGAGUUUUGAAGAGUUUCAAAACCUUUGAGAUUUCAAAAAUUUCGCUCUUUUGGUGUACUUUCUCGUGGGUAGGUUAACAUCGAUUUUGAUCAUCAUAAAAAGAUUGGAGGAAUGUAGCUUCGAUCUUGUAUUGAAGUGUUAUAGCCUUUGGUAAAUGUGAUGAUUAGGAUCGAGGAUUGCAACGAAUACCCUUUUGGGCUAUCCGCCUGAUCUCUGAUACGUGGCCUUGGCAUCGAAAGCUUGCUUAUGGUAUCAAGGUAUUACGGUCAAAAGGUUAGAACGGAUUACAUUCGUUAAGGAUGUUGACGUA
rnacentral:rRNA from 1 species